rnacentral:rRNA from 1 species
GACAUAGGUGGCGAACGUUAUCCGGAUUUAUUGGGCGUAAAGGAUGCGUAGAUGGUGGAAUAAGUUAUUGGUCGAGGUCAAGCUCAACUUGGCGGAAGCUGGUAAUACUGUUCUACUCGAGGGCAGGAGAGGUUGACGGAAUUCUGUGUGGAGCGGUGAAAUGCGCAGAUAUCAGGAGGAACACCGGUGGCGAAGGCGGGUCUCUGGGCCGAUACUGACGCUGAGGAGCGAAAGCGUGGGGAGCGAACAGG